GAUGAACGCUAGCGGCAGGCUUAAUACAUGCAAGUCUACGACGUUUCCGUAGCAAUAUGGAGACGGAGUGGCGUACGGGUGCGUAACACGUAUGCAACCUACCCUAUGCUCGGGGAUAACACUUCCAACGAGGUGCUAAUACCCGAUAAUGCAGCGGCACCGCAUGGUGACAGUUGUUAAAGCUUUGGCGGCAAAGGAUGGGCAUGCGUCUGAUUAGCUAGUUGGUGAGGUAACGGCUCACCAAGGCAACGAUCAGUAGCUGGUCUGAGAGGAUGAUCAGCCACACUGGGACUGAGACACGGCCCAGACUCCUACGGGAGGCAGCAGUGGGGAAUAUUGGUCAAUGGACGCGAGUCUGAACCAGCCAAGUCGCGUGAAGGAAGACUGCCCUAAGGGUUGUAAACUUCUUUUGUAUGGGAAUAAAAAAUAGAACGUGUUCUAUAUUGUAUGUACCAUACGAAUAAGGAUCGGCUAACUCCGUGCCAGCCGCCGCGGUAAUAC
rnacentral:rRNA from 1 species